rnacentral:rRNA from 1 species
CCUACGGGGGGCAGCAGUGGGGGAUAUUGCACAAUGGGGGAAACCCUGAUGCAGCGACGCCGCGUGUGGGAAGACGGUCCUCUGGAUUGUAAACCACUGUCCCCAGGGACGAAGAUGACGGUACCUGGGGCGGAAGCUCCGGCUAACUACGUGCCAGCAGCCGCGGUAAUACGUAGGGAGCAAGCGGUGUGCGGAAUUACUGGGGGUAAAGGGUGCGUAGGCGGGAUGGCAAGUUGGGGGUUAAAUCUACCGGCUCAACUGGUAGUCGCACUUAAAACUGCUAUUCUUGAGUGAAGUAGAGGCAGGCGGAAGUCCUAGUGUAGCGGUGAAAUGCGUAGAUAUUAGGAGGAACACCAGUGGCGAAGGCGGCCUGCUGGGCUUUUACUGACGCUGAGGCUCGAAAGUGUGGGGAGCAAACAGGAUUAGAUACCCCUGUAGUC